GCGGGUGUCGUAUAAUGGCUAAUAUGCCUGCCUUCCAAGCAAGGGACGCGAGUUCGAUUCUCGCCACCCGCACCA
rnacentral:tRNA from 1 species